AUACGGAGGGUGCAAGCGUUAUUCGGAAUCACUGGGCGUAAAGGACGCGUAGGCGGGAAAGCAAGUCUGAUGUGAAAUCCUAUGGCUCAACCAUAGAACUGCAUUGGAAACUGCUUACCUAGAGUAUGGGAGGGGGAGAUGGAAUUAGUGGUGUACGGGUAAAAUCCGUAGAUAUCACUAGGAAUACCGAAAGCGAAGGCGAUCUCCUGGAACAAUACUGACGCUAAGGCGUGAAAGCGUGGGGAGCAAACGGGAUUAGAAACCCUAGUAGUCC
rnacentral:rRNA from 1 species